GUUAUGGUAACACACUGUUGACAGGCUUGGAGUGUAGAGCUGAUCAGGCCUGAGUGUUGGAGGUACUCCACCCGGUCUACCCAAAAAAACACCUAACUAUUGAAAGACUUUCUGUCUUGAAACACACGCACACACACACGCUUUAAGUACAUGAUGAAACACACACGCACACACACACACACAAACGCAGGCAUACAUUACACACACAAACAUGUUUUCUAAUGAAUGAAUAUGCAGUAUUACUACAAAUGUUAAACAUACUGCCUUUCUGUAAAAAUACCAAAACUGUAAUAUCAGUUUCUUUAUUUGUAUCGGAGCCAUUUGAACAAAGGACUUAUACCAUUAUUUGCAAAGGCAUCUGUCUUUCUUUUCAUACAGACAAAUGGACCAUUAUGUCCAACAGUCACACAGUCUGGAAAUGCAUGGUUACUUACUUGUGCUCAUAGCACAAUACAUAGUUGAGUAUAAAAGUAUAAAAACAAUAUAUAAAACCGAAUAAUUACUUCUGCCAACCAGCAGCCAUCUUUUCUUGCAUUUUCAAGCACAUUACAAAUGACAUUUUAUACACAAUUUAAUGUCUAUUAGUCUAAUAUUAGCACCAGAUGAAAUCAGGUAAUUCUCUCUCUCUCUCUCACACACACACACACACACACACACAGGUGCAAGGCAAUGGAACAGGAAAUGCAUGAGGCUUAGAGGAAGUCUGUCAGAUUGACUUCCUGUAGUGUCUGAAUCAGCCCUGAUGAGCUCAGCUAUUUGGUCACCCAUAAAGAUAACUUUGGUCAUAACACAUCUAUAACUGUGGUCAUAUGGUCAUAACCCAUGAACAGAACUAUAACUGUGGUCAUAUGGUCAUAUUGCCUGAACACAACCUUACUGUGGUUCUGUGGUCAUGAAUACAACCUUGUGGUUCUAUGGUCAUAACUCAACCCUGGCUGUGGUCCUGCUAUGGUCAUGAAGUGCUCAGAGUACAGGUUAAAUACCAGUCCACUUCUGUCUCUGUCUCUGCAGCAUCUUACACAUUCUCCUGAGGAUGUUCCUUCCUGGUGAUGGCAUCUUGGUGUUCUCAGGUUCUAGAUAUAUCUAAUGCUCACAAUAAAAAAUAUAUAUUCUAGAGCUUAAGUGGGUCACAGCGCAAACAUGUUUUCAAGUUCUAGGUCUCUGGUGUUCUAUUAAUCUGAGAACCUUUGCAUGUCACUGUUGUCUCUACGGGUGGGGCUGUUGUCAAGGAAACGGUCGCAGGGGAACUCUAUAAGGUCGCCCCCUUCCUCCAGGGUUCCGAGCCGUGGCGGCCGGCUGCUCUGGAAACUUGUGAAGUCUGUUGACACCGCCGCCGUUGUUGUCAUGGAGCUGCGGAACGGUCGCCGCGUGGAAUACAUGUGGCGCACAUGCACUGCUGACUUCCUCCUUUUCAGCUUCCGCCUCAAACUUCGCCCCAGCCAGGCUCCUCCAAUCACCAGAAGAAGGACGGCGUUGCCGGCCAGUGUUGCCACGGUGACCAGCUGGAGGUCAGAGGUCAGUGUCUCUUGGUGAUGAGCCUCUUCUGGAAGAGUGACCAAUCCGGCGCAGUGGUCCCUGGGUGCCACCUGACACACGGACCCUCCCACCACACCCUCAACACAAGCCAUGUAGGUGACGUCUGGGCUUAGUUCUCGUAACAUCACCGACCGCGCCCCGCCACGGGCGUACACGUACCGAGGGAAACGGUCAGAUGACCCAAAGCGGUCAAACAGCACUCGGUAGUGGACCUCUUCUAGUCCCGGUCCGGCUCCCGGUGUGAAGCGGCUGUGGUGGCGUGUGGUCCAGUGGACCGUGGCUGUGCUGGAGGCGACCUGGUCGACGGACACGUUGGUGAUGAAGUGACGGUUGAACACACAGGGGUCGGUCACUGCAGGUAUAACGUCCUCCUGACCACCUCUGAACAGGUCAAACCGCUCCUCUUUCCGAAGGCUGGGAGGAGAGGAGGUGAGGAGCUCUGUGAUUGGCCCACUGAGAUGGUUACCAUGGCUAUUUUGGUGGUCAACUGUCUGAGGCCAGGUUGUGGUUGGAGGUGUGGGGUUGUUCAGGAGAGGGGCUUGUGUUUGAGGAACACUGCGGCCCGGAACGGAAUCCCACCUCCCUUUCUCACGCUUCCCAGAAGCCUCAGCAGAAGGUCGCGACCUAGGGCUGGCGGAUAUUUUCUUCCUCCUCUUCCUGUUCGACAACAGGGAUUUGUCCCGCUCCUCUUGCCCUCCCUGGUCCCCUUGGAUACCCACCUCCUCCUCUCCCUCCUUCCUAUCCUCUCCCUUGCUACCCCUGCUCACCUUCUCUAUUGCCUUCUUCUCCACUCCCUCUCUACUCCCAAUUUCCCUAUGUUCUUCUCCAUCCUUCCUUUCCUCUGCCUCUAUUCCUCUCCUCUCCCCCUCUAUCUCCUUUCUCACCUCUCCUUGCCCUCUCUCCCUCUCCUCCAGCUCCUUCUCCAGAACACCCCCUCCUCUGCUCUCCUCAGGCCCAGUCUGGGUCUCACACAAGUGGCUCCAGUUCCCUGGGGGCUGCAGCUGGGAGCUGUUGAUAUAAUCUAGAUACUUCCCCCUCAGUGUCGCUGGGUGAUGACACUGCAGGAAAACGGUCAGCAGCUUCCCCUGAGAGUGCGCCGAUUUCAUCCACUGCUUCAGCUCACCCAGGCGGCAGUCACACGUCCAGUUGUUGCCAUGGAGAUCCAAAUCGUAAAGGCCGCUGUUGAGGGCGAAUAUGUUACCCGAGAGGCUCGUGAGCCUGUUGUCUUUGAGUUUUAAAACACUCAGGUGCUUCAGUUGUUCAAAAGCCGAGGGGUCCACAGUUGAAAUUUGGUUGCAACUAAAGUCCAGCUCCUCAACUCUCUCCAGCGGGUCGAGAAGUCCUGCAGGAAGAUUCUCCAGCUCGUUCCCGUCAAUCAGAAAUUCUGUCAAGCUCGACAGUCCUUUCAACGACUCGCUUUCCAAAUGGUAGAUGUUGUUAUUGCUGAGGGAUAGUUUAGAAAGCUUUUUCAGAUUCUGAAAGACGUGGUUUCCGACGUGUUGUAUUUCAUUUUCAGAGAGCAGCAACGUAUUCAGUGACCUGAGCUGGGAGAACGUAAACACAUUACGCACGGCUGUCAGUUUGUUCUGCGCCAGGUUGAGAAAGCGCAGUUUGGUGAGCUUGGAAAAAGCGUUUCUGUGAAUGUGACUCAGCUGGUUCGAUUCUAGAUGGAGAUAAUGUAGAUUAGUCAAGCUCUUGAAGACCGAGUUCUGUAACAGUUCUAUGGCGUUCCCAUCUAACCUCAGCUUCACAACGCUCUCCAAGUUACCAAACAGCUCUGGAGUGAUCUUCUUCAUGUCAUUGUUAUUGCCAUACAAAGUAGUCAGUUUUGCCAGUGACUGUAAAGUUCCUGGGGGAAUUGUUGAUAUCAGAUUGUUGCCCAAAUACAGCUCCUCCAAUUUGGAGAGCUUUUCAAACGCUUUUGGGUGAAUGGUCUGUAUUUGAUUAUACUGUAAGUUCAACCUUAUAAGAUUUCCAUACCGUGUGAAGUCGAAGGCGGAGAUGUUACCGAUGAAGUUUCCCCCGAGGCUGAAGACAAGCACGUCCUCUGGGACCCGCGAGGAGUGCACCUUGGGCACCGCGCGCAGCCCCCGGUUUGUACAGAGGAUGUGCUGCGCUUGCUGGCAGUCGCAGCGCUCAGGACAGAAGCCGCUGGCGGGUGAAGGCGCGAGGAACCCUUCACAAGAGAAAAGGAGAAAGCAGAUGACACCCACGAAAUUACCGGUAUCCAUUCCAAAACGGCAGUUGGCACAAGCUUCUGAUGCGGCAUUCCCCCUUUGUGUUCACGUGCAGUUACCCCGACUCUCCACUCUCACUUUGGUGUCCGAUACAUAUGUCCAUUAUUGACUUGUUGCUCCGUCAUUUUGGAGGAAAGUUGUCCUACACUUAGUUUAGUGUGACAAGGUGUCUGGAUCCAUGGCUAAAAACUGCUGUUCAAAGAAUAAAUGUAUUUGUGCACUGCGCUGUCAUGCCGUGUGAGGAAACGCUCACCUCCCCAGAAUGAUCCAUAUCCCGGCCCCAAGUGGUCAUCUGGAGCAAAUUACAGACCUCCGCAAAACGCAGGGUUCACGCGCAGAGCACACACACACGCGCGCGCGCUCAGCCCCUCCCCCGCAUCUCCGGUCCCCGCCACCACCAUUCGUGUACAGUGCCUGGGUCACAGGAUUCAGAGCUGCGCGUGCAUUGAACACACACACACACACACACACACGUUCUCUAAAUCUAAUCAAAUGCGUGGAAGAUAGGACGCAUAUACUGUAUCUUGUUGUAUUCGAGGCAUGGAGAGAGAGAUAAGUGGCUGAACCCUUUGACCGAGUUUUCCGCGUGCCCCCGCACCCCCUGUGGCUCGCGAGGUGAGAUUCGAUACUCGGUAUGGAGAAAGCAGACGGGAAGCCUUCCUUCCCACGAGGGUCCCCCGGGGGACCCCGGACUGAGUGACUCAGUCUUGGACUCCC
rnacentral:lncRNA from 1 species